rnacentral:misc_RNA from 1 species
CUGCUUCCCACGUACUGGAG